GAUGAAGUUACCAAGAGCGCAUGGUGGAUGCCUUGGCACUAGAAGGCGAUGAAGGACGUGGUUACCUGCGAUAAGCCGGGAGUAGGCGGAAGCUGCCUGUGAUCCCCGGAUCUCCGAAUGGGACAACCCACACAGAGUAAUGUCUGUGUACGUUACGGUGAA
rnacentral:rRNA from 1 species